AUUGAACGCUGGCGGCAGGCCUAACACAUGCAAGUCGAGCGGAUGAAGGGAGCUUGCUCCUGGAUUCAGCGGCGGACGGGUGAGUAAUGCCUAGGAAUCUGCCUGGUAGUGGGGGAUAACGUCCGGAAACGGGCGCUAAUACCGCAUACGUCCUGAGGGAGAAAGUGGGGGAUCUUCGGACCUCACGCUAUCAGAUGAGCCUAGGUCGGAUUAGCUAGUUGGUGGGGUAAAGGCCUACCAAGGCGACGAUCCGUAACUGGUCUGAGAGGAUGAUCAGUCACACUGGAACUGAGACACGGUCCAGACUCCUACGGGAGGCAGCAGUGGGGAAUAUUGGACAAUGGGCGAAAGCCUGAUCCAGCCAUGCCGCGUUUGUGAAGAAGGUCUUCGGAUUGUAAAGCACUUUAAGUUGGGAGGAAGGGCAGUAAGUUAAUACCUUGCUGUUUUGACGUUACCAACAGAAUAAGCACCGGCUAACUUCGUG
rnacentral:rRNA from 1 species